GCUACAGGCUUAACAACGAUGCAAGUCGAGGGGAAACGAUAUUGGAAGCUUGCUUCCGAUAGGCGUCGACCGGCGCACGGGUGAGUAACGCGUAUCCAACCUGCCCAUCACUUGGGGAUAACCUUGCGAAAGUAAGACUAAUACCCAAUGACGUCUCUAGAAGACAUCUGAAAGAGAUUAAAGAUUUAUCGGUGAUGGAUGGGGAUGCGUCUGAUUAGCUUGUUGGCGGGGUAACGGCCCACCAAGGCGACGAUCAGUAGGGGGUUCUGAGAGGAAGGUCCCCCACAUUGGAACUGAGACACGGUCCAAACUCCUACGGGAGGCAGCAGUGAGGAAUAUUGGUCAAUGGACGAGAGUCUGAACCAGCCAAGUAGCGUGCAGGAUGACGGCCCUAUGGGUUGUAAACUGCUUUUAUAAGGGAAUAAAGUGGGAGUCGUGACUCUUUUUGCAUGUACCUUAUGAAUAAGGACCGGCUAAUUCCGUG
rnacentral:rRNA from 1 species